rnacentral:lncRNA from 1 species
GUCAAAUCCUAUUAACUCUUCUCCAUAUUUGCUUGCUGGCAGAAUUGACAUUUACAGCCUGCUGUUUGUUUGUAGUUGAGAAUGUGUGCAAAAAUAUCAGGCCUGUUUCCUGUGCACUAUGAAAACUUUUGUGACUGCUCACAAAUAUAUCCGCUUGUUCUGGUCUCUCUUCUUAUAUAGCUCUAUUCUUAGAUAUAUAAUUUGAAUGUGAUCUUUGAAAUCGUGCAAAUUGUUGCUGUCAUGUGAAAGUAUUCUCAAACAGAAAAACCUAACUUUGUCAUCUUGAUAUUUCUUGGUCUA